rnacentral:rRNA from 1 species
UGCGUAGGCGGAUUAAUAAGUCAGUGGUGAAAACCUGCAGCUUAACUGUAGAAUUGCCAUUGAUACUGUUAGUCUUGAGUACGGUCAAGGUAGGCGGAAUGUGUAAUGUAGCGGUGAAAUGCUUAGAUAUUACACAGAACACCGAUUGCGAAGGCAGCUUACUGGGCCAUUACUGACGCUGAUGCACGGAAGCGUGGGGAGCGAACAGGAUUAGAUACCCUGGUAGUCC